rnacentral:rRNA from 1 species
UACGUAGGGGGCAAGCGUUGUUCGGAAUUACUGGGCGUAAAGGGCGUGUAGGCGGCGCGGUAUGUUGGACGUGAAAUCCCCGGGCUCAACUCGGGGCGGUCGUUCAAAACUGCCGUGCUAGAGUGUGGGAGAGGGAAGUGGAAUUCCCGGUGUAGCGGUGAGAUGCGUAGAUAUCGGGAAGAACACCGGUGGCGAAGGCGGCGACCUGGUCCUUGACUGACGCUGAGGCGCGAAAGCGUGGGGAGCAAACAGG